AAAUAUAAAAACAAAUAUGCCAAAAAUAUUUUAAAUUAAGCUAACUAAAUAAUAUUCCUAUUUUUAUUUUAUUUUGCCAACUCUUCAGCGGAUAUUGAAGAGCGUCUGUGGCUGCGUAACUCAACAUGAUUUCAAUUUGCCAACACUCGACCAACACUUGGCUUUCUUUGGACUUCCUUUAUGGCAGUUCAAUGGCCCUGGAGCAACAUACAGCAGCAGAUGAUUCCAUAAGGCCAACAAAGUUGUAAUACAGAAUGUGCGUAAUUAACAAAAAAGUAAUUCACAUUUAUGGAAUGGAGCCUAGUAACUUGUACAAAUAAAAGAAAUCAUCAGCUAUGAAUGGAAAUCAGGAAAUACAUUUUGUAAUUUGGAUUCUCUUAAAAGGAGUAAAUACAUACAUAUAUCCCAUAUGAAGAAUAAGAAUACCCUCGGCAAUAGAAACAGAAUUUAAAUCAUCGCCCGCUGCCCAAUAAUUAAGAAAAGGGAGUCAAAAAUCACAUCGCCUGGGGGUAGCUGACAGUUUGGACAGUCGGUCGGUCUCUGGCUGCUUGGCUGCUGGCUGCUGGCUGCUGGCUGCCUGGUCAAGAGGCAAGUCAAAGUUUUGAAGUUCAGUUGGUCAUUGAAGGCAGCUCGUUUCCGCUUGUUUACAUGUUUAUGCCCAAAGACAAGGCACAAAGGAUUACCGUGCUGCAGCAAUAUCGGACCACGACGUCGUCGCUCGUUGUAAUCAAAGAAAUUAGCGGCACGAUACGUGCAACGGGCCGUGGCGAGUGUGAAUGGAUGGUUGGUUGAAUUGAGCUGAGCUGAGUUGAGCCGAGCUGAGCUCCAAGAAGGGUUGCACCCUGGACUUAACUGGACUGAACUGAACGGACUGACCAUCAUUUAACAUUUC